UCGUCAGCUCGUGUCGUGAGAUGUUGGGUUAAGUCCCGCAACGAGCGCAACCCUUAAGCUUAGUUGCCAUCAUUAAGUUGGGCACUCUAAGUUGACUGCCGGUGACAAACCGGAGGAAGGUGGGGAUGACGUCAAAUCAUCAUGCCCCUUAUGAUUUGGGCUACACACGUGCUACAAUGGACAAUACAAAGGGUAGCGAAACCGCGAGGUCAAGCAAAUCCCAUAAAGUUGUUCUCAGUUCGGAUUGUAGUCUGCAACUCGACUACAUGAAGCUGGAAUCGCUAGUAAUCGUAGAUCAGCAUGCUACGGUGAAUACGU
rnacentral:rRNA from 1 species